AUAUACUCUUCUCUCUGCCCGUCUCUGCUUCCCCCCCCUUCCCCCCCCCCUUUUCUCCCGGCCGACGGAGCUGAAGGGGCGGGGGUUCCUUCCUUGGAGUGUUUCUAGAGCUCGGAGGCUGCUGGUAGGGGGGCACCACUUUCAGAUAAAAACAUAGACCUGAAUGGCAUCAUCCAGUAUCCAAGGAAACCAUGCUUGCUUGAAGAGUGAGCAGGUGAGCAAAGAGACAAGAUUACAUGUUUAAACCAAGAAAAGAAUCUUGAAAAACAGAUUGGAAGAAUGCGAAAUGUUAUUAGACACAGGCACAGCAUAGCAGUAGAAACAUCUUAACUGAGAACUUGGAACUGAAAGAGAAAGCAACCAACUUAAAGGGCAGACAAGACACAUGGUUAUGUAACACAGCAGUGGGUAUUCACAGUGAUGACACAAGACAAAACAAUUACAUUUUCAUUCUAAAAGUAAUUUUUAAGGAGGCAAGGGCAUUUAUAAAACAUUUUAGAAACUAUUUAAUAAAAAUGGUAAAAUUAAAGUGUUUGUUUAUGUACUCAACAAAUAUUUAUUUGGAAAGUGCAUGCCUGGGGGCACAUCUCGUUAAUGAGGUGAUCCUGUGUUUAGAACUGAAGGCAGUCCUCAUCCAUUCUCUCAAAAGGUGACCUUCUUUGUUCUUCUUAUAGCCUCACCACAUUUAAUUUUCAGAGGUUUUGACAUAAAUUAAAAACAUUCUUUGGUAGAUUGUAUUGUAUGAAAACAAUCUUCAAAAGUGUAAGCAUUGAUAUCUGGAAUAUCUGGGAAAAUGUACAAUAAAGACAUCUCUUCUGGUCUU
rnacentral:lncRNA from 1 species